rnacentral:rRNA from 1 species
GUGAGAAUGCAGGCAUGAGUAGCGUGUGACGGGUGGGAAUCCCGUCCGCCGAUUAUCCAAGGGUUCCAGGGUCAAGUUUGUCUGCCCUGGGUGAGUCGGGUCCUAAGGCGAGGCCGACAGGCGUAGUCGAUGGGUAACCAGUUGAUAUUCUGGUACCGGCUUGUCACCGUCCGUGUCGAGGUGUGUGAUGCUAAGCAUGUGAGCUUGUCUUGGGAGUGUUUUUGAUGCUUCUGGGGUGGGUGAGUGUGUGAACCGAUCAUGUAGUAGGCAAGCUGCGGAGGGACGCAGUGAGGUAGCUCAUCCCCGGUGAUGGUUGUCCGGGGCUAAGUGUGUGGACUGUCUGGUAGGUAAAUCCGCUGGGCGUGAAGGUUGAGGCAUGAUGGGGAGCCCACGGUUGUGGGUGAGUGAGUGAUCCUGUACUGUCGAGAAAAGCUUCGUGAGCGAGGUGGCGGGUCCGCCCGUACCCUAAACCGACACUGGUGGAUAGGUAGAGUAUACCGAGGCGAUCGAGUGAAUCGUGGUGAAGGAACUCGGCAAAAUGCCCCCGUAACUUUGGGAUAAGGGGGACCUGA